rnacentral:rRNA from 1 species
UACGUAUGGGGCAAGCGUUAUCCGGAUUCACUGGGUGUAAAGGGAGCGUAGACGGCCAUGCAAGCCAGGGGUGAAAGCCCGGGGCCCAACCCCGGGACUGCCCUUGGAACUGCAUGGCUGGAGUGCGGGAGGGGCAGGCGGAAUUCCUGGUGUAGCGGUGAAAUGCGUAGAUAUCAGGAGGAACACCGGCGGCGAAGGCGGCCUGCUGGACCGCGACUGACGUUGAGGCUCGAAAGCGUGGGGAGCGAACAGG